CAGUCGCCACGGGAAUACGUAGGUGGCAAGCGUUGUCCGGAACUAUUGGGCGUAAAGGGCUCGCAGGCGGUUUCUUAAGUCUGAUGUGAAAGCCCCCGGCUCAACCGGGGAGGGUCAUUGGAAACUGGGAAACUUGAGUGCAGAAGAGGAGAGUGGAAUUCCACGUGUAGCGGUGAAAUGCGUAGAGAUGUGGAGGAACACCAGUGGCGAAGGCGACUCUCUGGUCCGUAACUGACGCUGAGGAGCGAAAGCGUGGGGAGCGAACAGGAUUAGAUACCCCCGUAGUCCCUGUCUCUUAUAC
rnacentral:rRNA from 1 species